CUACGGGGUGCUGCAGUGGGGAAUAUUGGGCAAUGGGCGAAAGCCUGACCCAGCAACGCCGCGUGAUUGAAGAAGGCUUUCGGGUUGUAAAAAUCUGUCCUUGGGGACGAAGAAGUGACGGUACCCAAGGAGGAAGCCCCGGCUAACUACGUGCCAGCAGCCGCGGUAAUACGUAGGGGGCGAGCGUUGUCCGGAAUUACUGGGCGUAAAGGGUGCGCAGGCGGCGCUUUAAGUCAGAUGUGAAAUAUCCAUGCUUAACGUGGAGGGUGCAUUUGAAGCUGGAGCGCUUGAGUGCAGGAGAGGAAAGUGGAAUUCCUAGUGUAGCGGUGAAAUGCGUAGAUAUUAGGAGGAACACCAGUGGCGAAGGCGACUUUCUGGACUGUAACUGACGCUGAGGCACGAAAGCGUGGGGAGCAAACAGGAUUAGAUACCCUAGUAGUC
rnacentral:rRNA from 1 species